rnacentral:rRNA from 1 species
CCUACGGGAGGCAGCAGUGGGGAAUAUUGCGCAAUGGGCGAAAGCCUGACGCAGCAACGCCGCGUGAGGGAUGAAGGAUUUUGGUUCGUAAACCUCUGUCAAGUGGGAAGAAUACUGACGGUACCACUAAAGGAAGCCCCGGCUAACUCCGUGCCAGCAGCCGCGGUAAU